rnacentral:rRNA from 1 species
GAUGAACGCUGGCGGCGUGCUUAACACAUGCAAGUCGAACGAUUAACCCACCUUCGGGUGGUUAUAAAGUGGCGAACGGGUGAGUAACACGUGACCAACCUACCUCUUACUUUGGGAUAACUCAGAGAAAUUUGAGCUAAUACCAAAUACUCUUUCUUCCUCGCAUGAGGAUUUCAGGAAAGCUCCGGCGGUAAGAGAUGGGGUCGCGGCCUAUUAGGUAGUUGGUGGGGUAACGGCCUACCAAGCCCAUGAUAGGUAGCCGGGUUGAGAGACUGAUCGGCCACAUUGGGACUGAGAUACGGCCCAGACUCCUACGGGAGGCAGCAGUGGGGAAUUUUGCACAAUGGGCGAAAGCCUGAUGCAGCAACGCCGCGUGCGGGAUGAAGGCCUUCGGGUUGUAAACCGCUUUCAGCAGGGAAGAAUUUUGACGGUACCUGCAGAAGAAGCUCCGGCUAACUACGUGCCAGCCGCCGCCGUAAUAC